rnacentral:tRNA from 1 species
GCCUGGCUGGUUCAGUAGGUGGAACACAAGACUCUUGAUCUCAGGGUUGUAAGUUCGAGUCUCAUGUUGGGUG